CAGAUUUCCAUUUCUUUCAGCACACCACUGUGGCCCUGGGAGAGUGUCUGUGAACCCAACUCAAGAACAGCUUGCUUCCUGUUUCUCUGAGGCACAUGAUGUGGUGGGUGAGGUCCGCUCCUCUGAUGGCACCUCUUCCAAGCGAUGAAAAACAUGGAAAGGACUCUGCUCCAAAUUAAGGGAAACAUGGCAGCUUUGGAGUCCCACAGAUUGGACGCAGAGAGAAGAGGGCCAUCAGUGAACCAGGAAUCAGGUCCUCGCCAGAUACUGAAUCUACCAUCACCUUGAUCUUGGACUUCCCAGCCUUCAGAACUGAUAGAAAUAAAUUUCUGUUGUUUAUAAGCUA